UUCUAAAUAAAUUCUGCUCAAUGAAAUAAAUUAAAUAGCCGCAGUAACUUAACUGUGCUAAGGUAGCAUAAUAAUUAGUUUUUUAAUUAAAAACUAGAAUGAAAGAAAAAAUGAAAAAUUAACUUUUUAAUAAUAAUAAAUAAAUAUAAAUUAAUUAAUAAGUUAAAAAUCUUAUAUAAAAUAAAAAGACAAGAAGACCCUUUAGAAUUUAAUAAAUAAAAAAAUUUAAAUAAUAAAUUUUAAUAAUUAUUAAGUUGGGGAGACUAUGAAAUCUAUAAAACUUUCACUUUUUUAAAACAAGAAUAAAUGAAUCAAAAAAAAUAUCCAGUUAAUAGCCGAAUAAAAAACAAAUUACCUAAGGGAUAACAGCGUAAAAUUUCUAAAAAGAUCAAAUUUACAGAAUAAAUUACGACCUCGAUGUUGGAUUAAGAA
rnacentral:rRNA from 1 species